rnacentral:misc_RNA from 1 species
AACCCUUCAAGCUCUGCUUGGUGUUGGGCGUUUGUCUCCGCCUCUGUGCGGGGACUCGCCUCAAAUUCAUUGGCAGCCGGUAAGUUGGCUUCGUGCGCAGCACAUUGCGUCGCGACUCCAGCGUGCCUCCUCCCAUCAAGACCUUCUAUUA